CUCCACCUGGAGCACCCGCUUUGCUCCCACCUCCUGGUGGAGCUGCUCUCCAUUUACUCCAGGUGUAUAGACUGCUCUAGGACUGCUCCAGGUGCUGGGACACAGCAGCCAGCUCCAAGUCCCUAAUCUUGUAGCAGGAUACACUAUUCUCCUCCCCUGCCCCCAUUUAAUUAGUGUCCCUCCACAGAUUAUAAGCUCCAACAAG
rnacentral:lncRNA from 1 species